ACGUAGGUCACAAGCGUUGUCCGGAAUUACUGGGUGUAAAGGGAGCGCAGGCGGGAGAACAAGUUGGAAGUGAAAUCCAUGGGCUCAACCCAUGAAUUGCUUUCAAAACUGUUUUUCUUGAGUAGUGCAGAGGUAGGCGGAAUUCCCGGUGUAGCGGUGGAAUGCGUAGAUAUCGGGAGGAACACCAGUGGCGAAGGCGGCCUACUGGGCACCAACUGACGCUGAGGCUCGAAAGUGUGGGUAGCAAACAG
rnacentral:rRNA from 1 species